rnacentral:sRNA from 1 species
CCAGCCUGACCAACAUGGUGAAACCCCAUCUCUACUGAAAACACAGAAAUUAGCCAGGCAUGUUGGUGCAUGCCUGUAAUCCCAGCUACUCAGGAGGCUGAGGCACGAGAAUCACUUGAACCCAGGAGGUGAAGGUUGCAGUGAGCCAAGAUCGCACCAUUGCACUCCAGCUUGGGCAACAAGAGCAAAACUCUGUCUCAAAAAAAAAAAAAAAAGAUCUAUGAAUCUGUGAACCCAUCAAUACUGUCCUGUUUGCAUUGCCAGGGGUCCUGCUAACCCUUCCUCUGCCAAAUCUCAGUGCCUUAAGAUGGUCUUUCCCAAGGAGCAUCCCCCGAGCCUUCAAAUUUGCCUUCCAGUUUAGACAGGAAGCUGGCCUCUGUCUUUAGGUCCGUAUGAGGACUCACUCCUUGUCUCUUUCUGCCAAAGCCUGACGACUCCCUGGAGCCUUUCUUCGACUCUCUGGUAAAGCAGACCCACGUUCCCAACCUCUUCUCCCUGCAGCUUUGUGGUGCUGGCUUCCCCCUCAACCAGUCUGAAGUGCUGGCCUCUGUCGGAGGGAGCAUGAUCAUUGGAGGUAUCGACCACUCGCUGUACACAGGCAGCCUCUGGUAUACACCCAUCCGGCGGGAGUGGUAUUAUGAGGUGAUCAUUGUGCGGGUGGAGAUCAAUGGACAGGAUCUGAAAAUGGACUGCAAGGAGUACAACUAUGACAAGAGCAUUGUGGACAGUGGCACCACCAACCUUCGUUUGCCCAAGAAAGUGUUUGAAGCUGCAGUCAAAUCCAUCAAGGCAGCCUCCUCUACGGAGAAGUUCCCUGAUGGUUUCUGGCUAGGAGAGCAGUUGGUAUGCUGGCAAGCAGGCACCACCCCUUGGAACAUUUUCCCAGUCAUCUCACUCUACCUAAUGGGUGAGGUUACCAACCAGUCCUUCCGCAUCACCAUCCUUCCACAGCAAUACCUGCGGCCAGUGGAAGAUGU